rnacentral:rRNA from 1 species
GACGAACGCUGGCGGCGUGCUUAACACAUGCAAGUCGAGCGAGCGGCGAACGGGUGAGUAACGCGUGGUAACCUGCCCCCCUCUCUGGGAUAACUACUGGAAACGGUAGCUAAUACCGCAUACCAUCGGAUGUGCCCAGAUGGGAUUAGCUAGUGGGUGGGGUAACGGCUCACCUAGGCGACGAUCCCUAGCUGGUCUGAGAGGAUGACCAGCCACACUGGAACUGAGACACGGUCCAGACGCCUACGGGAGGCAGCAGUGGGGAAUAUGGCACAAUGGGCGCAAGCCGGAUGCAGCCAUGCCGCGUGUAUGAAGAAGGCCUUCGGGUUGUAAAGUACUUUCAGCGAGGAGGCGUUACUCGCAGAAGAAGCACCGGCUAACUCCGUGCCAGCAGCCGCGGUAAUUC